rnacentral:rRNA from 1 species
GACGAACGCUGGCGGCGUGCCUAACACAUGCAAGUCAGGGAGAAAGAGGUAGCAAUAUCUCGAGUAAACCGGCGAACGGGUGAGUAACACGUAGGUAACCUGCCCUCGAGUUGGGAAUAACUUCGAGAAAUCGAGGCUAAUACCGGAUAAUGCAACGAACCCGCAUGGGUUUGUUGUUAAAGUUCCGCGCAAGCGGAACGCUUGAGGAUGGACCUGCGGCCGAUUAGCUAGUUGGCGGAGUAACAGCCCACCAAGGCGACGAUCGGUAGCCGACCUGAGAGGGUGACCGGCCACACUGGGACUGAGAUACGGCCCAGACUCCUACGGGAGGCAGCAGUGAGGAAUAUUGCGCAAUGGGCGAAAGCCUGACGCAGCGACGCCGC